AGUGUAGGGGUUCACAAUGCAAAUCCAGUACUAGAGGCGAAUUGUCCACUUCAACGUGUCACGGUAGCAAAUGUGUAACAAACGUAAGGGUCUUUCUAAAAAUUAUUCCUUAACUUGUUUUUAUUACAAACCGCCA